AGCAUAUCAAUAAGCGGAGGAAAAGAAACCAACAGGGAUUGCCCCAGUAACGGCGAGUGAAGCGGCAACAGCUCAGAUUUGAAAUCUGGCCCUCUACGGGGUCCGAGUUGUAAUCUGUAGAGGAUGCUUUUGGCGACGCGCCUUCCGAGUCCCCUGGAACGGGGCGCCAGAGAGGGUGAGAGCCCCGUAUGGUCGGACGCCGAACCUUUGUAAAGCUCCUUCGACGAGUCGAGUAGUUUGGGAAUGCUGCUCAAAAUGGGAGGUAAAUUUCUUCUAAAGCUAAAUACCGGCCAGAGACCGAUAGCGCACAAGUAGAGUGAUCGAAAGAUGAAAAGCACUUUGAAAAGAGGGUUAAAUAGCACGUGAAAUUGCUGAAAGGGAAGCGCUUGUGACCAGACUUGCGCCCGGUUGAUCAUCCAGCGUUCUCGCUGGUGCACUCUGCCGGGCUCAGGCCAGCAUCGGCUCCCCCAGGGGGAUAAAGGUCGCGGGAACGUAGCUCUCUCCGGGGAGUGUUAUAGCCCGUGGCGGAAUACCCUUAGGGGGGGUCGAGGCCCGCGUUCGCAAGGAUGCUGGCGUAAUGGUCACCAGCGACCCGUCUUGAAACACGGACCAAGGAGUCAAGCAUUAGGGCGAGUCUUUGGGUGUAAAACCCGCAGGCGCAAUGAAAGUGAACGGAGGUGAGAGCUUCGGCGCAUCAUCGACCGAUCCUGAUGUUCUCGGAUGGAUUUGAGUAAGAGCCUUACCGCUUGGACCCGAAAGAUGGUGAACUAUGCCUGAAUAGGGUGAAGCCAGAGGAAACUCUGGUGGAGGCUCGCAGCGGUUCUGACGUGCAAAUCGAUCGUCAAAUUUGGGCAUGGGGGCGAAAGACUAAUCGA
rnacentral:rRNA from 2 species